rnacentral:rRNA from 1 species
CUUGUAGCAAUACCGGCUGUUCAGUGGCGAACGGGUGCGUAACACGUGGGCAACAUGCCUGAAAGCGCGGGAUAGCCCGGGGAAACCCGGAUUAAUACCGCAUGUGACGCCGGAGGGGAUUCCCUCCAUCGUCAAAGGUGGGGACCGCAAGGCCUGCCGCUUUCAGAUUGGCCCGCGCCCUAUCAGCUUGUUGGUGAGGUAACGGCUCACCAAGGCUACGACGGGUAGCUGGUCUGAGAGGACGACCAGCCACACUGGAACUGAGACACGGUCCAGACACCUACGGGUGGCAGCAGUCGAGAAUCUUUCACAAUGGGGGAAACCCUGAUGGAGCGACGCCGCGUGGAGGAUGAAGGUCUUCGGAUUGUAAACUCCUGUCAUGAGAGAACAAGCAACCCCGGCCAAUACCCGGGGAAGUUGAUAGUACCUCAAGAGGAAGGGACGGCUAACUUCGUGCCAGCAGCCGCGGUAAUACGAAGGUCCCAAGCGUUGUUCGGAAUCACUGGCCG